rnacentral:rRNA from 1 species
AAGCGGUGGAUGAUGUGGCUUAAUUCGAGGCUACGCGAAAAACCUUAUCCUAGUCUUGACAUGCACGGAUUAACCCGGUGAAAGCCGGGCCACGCCUUCGGGUGGAACGUGCACAGGUGCUGCAUGGCUGUCGUCAGCUCGUGUCGUGAGGUGUCGGGUUAAGUCCCAUAACGAGCGAAACCCUUGCCCUUAGUUGCUACGCAAGAGCACUCUAGGGGGACUGCCGGUGUCAAACCGGAGGAAGGCGGGGACG